GACGAACGCUGGCGGCGUGCCUAACACAUGCAAGUCGAACGGGGUAGAGAGCUUCGGUUUUCUACUUAGUGACGAACGGGUGAGUAACGCGUGAGGAACCUGCCUUCCAGUGGGGGACAACAGUUGGAAACGACUGCUAAUACCGCAUAAUGUAGCGAGAUCGCAUGGUCUUGCUACCAAAGCUUUAUGUGCUGGAAGAUGGCCUCGCGUCUGAUUAGCUAGUUGGUGGGGUAACGGCCCACCAAGGCGACGAUCAGUAGCCGGUCUGAGAGGAUGAACGGCCACAUUGGGACUGAGAUACGGCCCAGACUCCUACGGGAGGCAGCAGUGGGGAAUAUUGGGCAAUGGGGGAAACCCUGACCCAGCAACGCCGCGUGAAGGAAGAAGGCCCUCGGGUUGUAAACUUCUUUUAGCAGGGACGAAGGACGUGACGGUACCUGCAGAAAAAGCAACGGCUAACUACGUGCCAGCAGCCGCAGUAACAC
rnacentral:rRNA from 1 species